rnacentral:rRNA from 1 species
UACGAAGGGGGCUAGCGUUGUUCGGAAUUACUGGGCGUAAAGCGCGCGCAGGCGGUUCUUCAAGUCAGAGGUGAAAGCCCAGAGCUCAACUCUGGAAUGGCCUUUGAGACUAGAGAACUAGGGUACGGGAGAGGUGAGUGGAAUUCCGAGUGUAGAGGUGAAAUUCGUAGAUAUUCAGAAGAACACCAGUGGCGAAGGCGGCUCACUGGCCCGUUACCGACGCUCAGGCGCGACAGCGUGGGGAGCAAACAGG